rnacentral:ribozyme from 1 species
UGCCCAGCAGCUCCUAUCCCUAUCUCCUCGUGGUACUGGCCGGGGUACGAGUAACCUUAGGGAAGAUCGGGUAACCAACUUUGGUCGUAUGCUGACAGGGAAGG